CUACGGGAGGCAGCAGUGGGGAAUAUUGGACAAUGGGGGCAACCCUGAUCCAGCAAUACCGCGUGUGUGAAGAAGGCCCGAGGGUUGUAAAGCACUUUCAGUAGGGAGGAUUAAUGUUACGGUUAAUACCCGUGAUAUUUGACGUUACCUACAGAAGAAGCACCGGAUAACUCAGUGCCAGCAGCCGCGGUAAUACUGAGGGUGCAAGCGUUAAUCGGAAUUACUGGGCGUAAAGCGCGCGUAGGUGGUUAGAUCAGUUGGGUGUGAAAGCCCCGAGCUUAACUUGGGAACUGCAUUCAAUACUGUCUAGCUAGAGUAUGGUAGAGGGAAGUGGAAUUCCGCAUGUAGCGGUGAAAUGCGUAGAGAUGCGGAGGAACACCAGUGGCGAAGGCGACUUCCUGGACCAAUACUGACACUGAGGUGCGAAAGCGUGGGGAGCAAACAGGAUUAGAUACCCCGGUAGUC
rnacentral:rRNA from 1 species